rnacentral:rRNA from 2 species
GAACGCUGGCGGCGUGCCUAAUACAUGCAAGUCGAACGCACUCUCGUUUAGAUUGAAGGAGCUUGCUCCUGAUUGAUAAACAUUUGAGUGAGUGGCGGACGGGUGAGUAACACGUGGGUAACCUGCCCUAAAGUGGGGGAUAACAUUUGGAAACAGAUGCUAAUACCGCAUAAAACCUAACACCGCAUGGUGUAGGGUUGAAAGAUGGUUUCGGCUAUCACUUUAGGAUGGACCCGCGGUGCAUUAGUUAGUUGGUGAGGUAAAGGCUCACCAAGACCGUGAUGCAUAGCCGACCUGAGAGGGUAAUCGGCCACACUGGGACUGAGACACGGCCCAGACUCCUACGGGAGGCAGCAGUAGGGAAUCUUCCACAAUGGACGAAAGUCUGAUGGAGCAACGCCGCGUGAGUGAAGAAGGUUUUCGGAUCGUAAAACUCUGUUGUUGGAGAAGAAUGUAUCUAAUAGUAACUGAUCAGGUAGUGACGGUAUCCAACCAGAAAGCCACGGCUAACUACGUGCCAGCAGCCGCGGUAAUACGUAGGUGGCAAGCGUUGUCCGGAUUUAUUGGGCGUAAAGCGAGCGCAGGCGGUUUCUUAAGUCUGAUGUGAAAGCCUUCGGCUCAACCGAAGAAGUGCAUCGGAAACUGGGAAACUUGAGUGCAGAAGAGGACAGUGGAACUCCAUGUGUAGCGGUGAAAUGCGUAGAUAUAUGGAAGAACACCAGUGGCGAAGGCGGCUGUCUGGUCUGUAACUGACGCUGAGGCUCGAAAGCAUGGGUAGCAAACAGGAUUAGAUACCCUGGUAGUCCAUGCCGUAAACGAUGAGUGCUAGGUGUUGGAGGGUUUCCGCCCUUCAGUGCCGCAGCUAACGCAUUAAGCACUCCGCCUGGGGAGUACGACCGCAAGGUUGAAACUCAAAGGAAUUGACGGGGGCCCGCACAAGCGGUGGAGCAUGUGGUUUAAUUCGAAGCAACGCGAAGAACCUUACCAGGUCUUGACAUCCUUUGACCACUCUAGAGAUAGAGCUUUCCCUUCGGGGACAAAGUGACAGGUGGUGCAUGGUUGUCGUCAGCUCGUGUCGUGAGAUGUUGGGUUAAGUCCCGCAACGAGCGCAACCCUUAUUACUAGUUGCCAGCAUUUAGUUGGGCACUCUAGUGAGACUGCCGGUGACAA